CACACUGGAGGAGCCAAAAGUAAAGAAAGGAGGGGAGAGAAGACAGGAUGCAAAUUAAACCAGAGACGGCAUACUAUCUCUGAGGAGACAGCGGUGUGACCAUUCAAGCUUCUGUCUUCAGAGUCCGCUGUGCUACAGGAUCAGCAAGCAAACGAAGACAUCAAUCUUCCAAGAUUCUAAUGACACAAAAGAAGAAUGUAAGUUGUAAAUGAUGGUUGCCACUUGCAGAAAAAAAAAAAAAAAAAAAAAGGAAAAAAUGCACUAAAACCAUUUCAAACAAGAAUAUAAUAAAAAAUGUGCGGUUUCUAAGUAUUUGACAGCCCACAAACUCAUCUCAAGGGUAUCUGUCCCAUGUCGAUCUUCUCAUCAUGAAUGCAUCAGGACUGCUCACAGGUGUCUGGACUCUGCGCUUCCUCAUCCAUGACAUGAGUUUUGAACGAGACAAACUGCGGCACCUACUUCCAGAACCGUGGAUAGACGCUACACCUAGUUUUGUCCAAGGCUACAGACAUGUUGCAGUUCCCUAUGAAGCAGGAUGCUCAGCAGUGAUCUUUGAGAAGAGCAAAUGCUUCGUUUAGUGACCAUCUCUGCUCUAGGAUGGUGAGAACGCAGUUUGCUGUUCAGUUUCCACUCGCUGCUGUCUUUUCUAAGAAGCAUGGGGAAGCGAGCUGCGAAAGAGAACGGCCUUCAGAGCCUC